CACUGCCCGUCACACUAUGGGAGCUGGUCAUACCCAAAGUUAUUACCUUAACCGCAAGGAGGGAAUGCCGAAGGCAGAGUUAGUGACUGGAGUGAAGUCGUAACAAGGUAGCCGUACUGGAAGGUGCGGAAA
rnacentral:ncRNA from 1 species